rnacentral:misc_RNA from 1 species
AGAUCCAUGUUGUGCGUCGCGAUCAGCAUCGCGACGCGCGUCGCCCGCACCAGCUGGGUCAAAGCUUUGAAAACGUGAUCCGCGGUAUGCGGAUCGAGAUUUCCGGUCGGCUCGUCCGCGAGCAGGACCCGGGGCGCGUUGGCCACCGCGCGCGCAAUUGCCACGCGCUGCUGCUCACCGCCCGAUAGUUCCGCGGGCCGGUGGGUCACGCGUUCCGCCAAUCCGAGAUAGGCCAGGAUUUCCUUCGACCGCUUGACGGUUUCCUUUUUCGNNNNNCAUCUGCGGCAACAUCACGUUCUCAAGCGCCGAGAAUUCCGGCAGCAGGCGAUGGGACUGG